GACAGAGAGGACCGUGAAGAGACACCACGCUGCCAAAGGAGUAACAUGUCGGAUUACAGUUAAUGUCAACCUGGCAAGAUCUCCAUAGGCCGCAAGUCUCUGGGCAGUGCAGUUGGAGGGAGUUUCUGAAUUGAGAGUUGCAGUGGGAAGACCCACCUUAAAUACGGGUUGCACCAUUCCCUGGGCUGAGGCUCUGGACCAAAUACAAGGAAGAAAUGAAACAGCACGAAGGCUUCAUCAGAGGUGAAGUUCAUCCUGACUGCAGAUGGAAACGGACCAGCCACCUAAGGCUCCCACUGCCUGAGCCUUUCAUCACCCUCAAGCUCUGAGCCAAACUUAACCCUUUCUUCUUGAAGCUGGGUUUGUUUUUUUGUUUUCCCCCAGUGGUGAGAAUACAUAACACUCUGCCUUCUACUGCUCUAAA